UAAUUGAAGGGUUUGAUCCUGGCUCAGAACGAACGCUGGCGGCGUGGUUGAUACAUGCAAGUCGAACGGGAAAGGGGGCUUCGGCUCCCCGGUACAGUGGCGGACGGGUGAGUAAUGUAUGAUCAAUCUGCCCGAAAGAUCAGGAUAGCCGCCCGAAAGGGCGGGUAAUACUGAAUAAGCCCACGGGGAGGCAUCUCCCUGCGGGAAAAGGAUGGGGAUCUUCGGACCUUUCGCUUUCGGAUGAGAUCAUAACCUAUCAGUUUGUUGGCGGGGUAACGGCCCACCAAGACUACGACGGGUAGCCGGCCUGAGAGGGUG
rnacentral:rRNA from 1 species